rnacentral:rRNA from 1 species
UACGUAGGGUGCGAGCGUUGUCCGGAAUUAUUGGGCGUAAAGAGCUUGUAGGCGGUUUGUCGCGUCUGCUGUGAAAAUCCGGGGCUCAACCCCGGACUUGCAGUGGGUACGGGCAGACUGGAGUGUGGUAGGGGAGACUGGAAUUCCUGGUGUAGCGGUGGAAUGCGCAGAUAUCGGGAGGAACACCUAUGGCGAAGGCAGCUCGCUGGGACGUUACUGACGCUGAGACGCGAAAGCGUGGGGAGCAAACAGG